ensembl:lncRNA PRKG1-AS1 PRKG1 antisense RNA 1
GAAAAAUGUGCAAAGAGAAGGAAAUUUGCACAUCAAACGAGGGGCAAUCGCGGCGGUAGAUGAACUUGAUUAGGCAGACGCGUGAGAUCAAAGUGGCCGGGACCAAAGCGGACAGGGUCCAACGUGCCAGCACUGCCAAGAGAAGGCCUUUUGUACUCAGGUUAAAUAAGAACAUCCUGCAAGGAGUCUGUUCUUUUAUGCAGCCUAAAGAUCAAGUAAUAAUCAUUGACACUGAUACUGAGCAUGUCGAUUUUGAAGAGACUAGCAUGAACCUUGAAGAAUCAUGUUCUUCCUAGGAAUUACAAAUCCCCCGAUUCCAUGUCUAACAUAAUUUCUACUGGCCUCUUUGCUUCUCAUGCUUUAGUACCAGUGCUUCUGAAUUUGAAAGUCUUCAUGCAAAUUGCCCAGGUUUGCUGGCAGCUGUGUCUCAGAAAAAGCUGUCUUCAGCAAGGCAGAAGCAGACCAGGGUGGUCCAGAGUUGGUGACUAUUAUGGCAUGGCUACCCAGGGCCAGAGAGGUGAGGUUUAAUGAGAAAGAAGAUAGAUGAAAAUGACUCCUCCUCCUGCUUUCACUGCUGCAGCAACUCAGGCCUGCAGACAAGAUCCAGCUCUAUUGCCCAAGCUGGAGUGCAGUGGUGAGAUAAUGAUUCACUGCAGCCUUGAUCUCCUGGGCUCAAGCAGUUCUCCUGCCUCAGCCUCCUGAGUAGCUGGGACCACAGGCACCCUCCACCAUGUCUGGCCAAAAUUUUUUGAAUUUUUUGUAGAGACCAGGUUUCACCAUGUUGCCCAGGCUGAUUUCAAAUUCCUGGGCUCAAGUGAUCUUCCUGCCUCAGCCUCUCAAAGUGCUGAGAUUACAAGUGUGAGCCACCACACCCAGCCAAAAUAUAAAUACGCCUUUAAUAGUAACACCUAAUUACCUAACACCAUCAAAAAUGGGGUGCUCCAUGAAGAAGCACAUAAUUCAAAUUAUUGAAGUUUAUCCCUUCUAAUGACCACAUAGAUUUCUCUUGCCCCAUUAAAAAAUUAGAUAAUCAGUAUUUCUAGGAUAGUUGUUUUCUUCCAACCAAUUAAGGCAUAAUCUAUGUAGCAGAACAUUCAGAGGAUGAUGCCUGGUCAACAUUUGAAUAAACAAUCACUGUGAUGUUACCUCUAUUUAAGAUGACUCCAAUAAAACUUCUAUGGUUUGCAUUAUUAGUUGAUCAGACUUUAAGCAUUAUCUUUUGAUAGGGUCAAGGAACCUGUCUUAACUCCCCAUCUCUGACCAAAAUAUACUUGUUUUCUAUAAGCUAUAAAGCCAGAUAGCCAAUUUUAUGAGAAUUGUCCCUAUACUAUAUCCAUGUGAGCGAUGAGUGCCUGGCAUGAAGAUGCAUAAAGGAGGCAGUAAUAUACAACAACUGAAGCAUAACCUCUGGAGCCAGUCUUCUUCAGACAAAUCCCAAUUCCAUUACUCACUGGCCACCUAAACAAGCUACUUAAUUCAUCUGCCUCAGUUUUCUUCAACUGUUUAAUGGGUAUGAUCAACAAACCAACUUCAGUGGGUUAUCAUAAAUAUUAAUAAAUGAGAGAAUGCAUGUGAAACAAAGCUAUAAGCAAUCAU